rnacentral:rRNA from 1 species
AUUGAACGCUGGCGGCAGGCCUAACACAUGCAAGUCGAGCGGUAGCACAGAGAGCUUGCUCUCGGGUGACGAGCGGCGGACGGGUGAGUAAUGUCUGGGAAACUGCCUGAUGGAGGGGGAUAACUACUGGAAACGGUAGCUAAUACCGCAUAACGUCGCAAGACCAAAGUGGGGGACCUUCGGGCCUCAUGCCAUCAGAUGUGCCCAGAUGGGAUUAGCUAGUAGGUGGGGUAACGGCUCACCUAGGCGACGAUCCCUAGCUGGUCUGAGAGGAUGACCAGCCACACUGGAACUGAGACACGGUCCAGACUCCUACGGGAGGCAGCAGUGGGGAAUAUUGCACAAUGGGCGCAAGCCUGAUGCAGCCAUGCCGCGUGUGUGAAGAAGGCCUUCGGGUUGUAAAGCACUUUCAGCGGGGAGGAAGGCGUUAAGGUUAAUAACCUUGGCGAUUGACGUUACCCGCAGAAGAAGCACCGGCUAACUCCGUGCCAGCAGCCGCGGUAAUACGGAGGGUGCAAGCGUUAAUCGGAAUUACUGGGCGUAAAGCGCACGCAGGCGGUCUGUCAAGUCGGAUGUGAAAUCCCCGGGCUCAACCUGGGAACUGCAUUCGAAACUGGCAGGCUAGAGUCUUGUAGAGGGGGGUAGAAUUCCAGGUGUAGCGGUGAAAUGCGUAGAGAUCUGGAGGAAUACCGGUGGCGAAGGCGGCCCCCUGGACAAAGACUGACGCUCAGGUGCGAAAGCGUGGGGAGCAAACAGGAUUAGAUACCCUGGUAGUCCACGCCGUAAACGAUGUCGAUUUGGAGGUUGUGCCCUUGAGGCGUGGCUUCCGGAGCUAACGCGUUAAAUCGACCGCCUGGGGAGUACGGCCGCAAGGUUAAAACUCAAAUGAAUUGACGGGGGCCCGCACAAGCGGUGGAGCAUGUGGUUUAAUUCGAUGCAACGCGAAGAACCUUACCUGGUCUUGACAUCCACAGAACUUAGCAGAGAUGCUUUGGUGCCUUCGGGAACUGUGAGACAGGUGCUGCAUGGCUGUCGUCAGCUCGUGUUGUGAAAUGUUGGGUUAAGUCCCGCAACGAGCGCAACCCUUAUCCUUUGUUGCCAGCGGUCCGGCCGGGAACUCAAAGGAGACUGCCAUUGAUAAACUGGAGGAAGGUGGGGAUGACGUCAAGUCAUCAUGGCCCUUACGACCAGGGCUACACACGUGCUACAAUGGCAUAUACAAAGAGAAGCGACCUCGCGAGAGCAAGCGGACCUCAUAAAGUAUGUCGUAGUCCGGAUUGGAGUCUGCAACUCGACUCCAUGAAGUCGGAAUCGCUAGUAAUCGUAGAUCAGAAUGCUACGGUGAAUACGUUCCCGGGCCU